AGCAGCCGCGGUAAUUCCAGCUCCAAUAGCGUAUAUUAAAGUUGCUGCAGUUAAAAAGCUCGUAGUUGAAUUUCGGGACUAAUAUGUCGGUCGUGCCUCGGUACGUACUGGUUUAUUGGUUUCUCCUUUCUGAAGAACCAUGAUGUCAUUUAUUUGGUGUCGUGGGGAAUCAGGACUGUUACUUUGAAAAAAUUAGAGUGUUUAAAGCAGGCUCACGCUUGAAUACAUUAGCAUGGGAUAAUGAAAUAGGACGUUUGAUUCUAUUUUGUUGGUUUCUAGGAUCGACGUAAUGAUUAAUAGGGAUAGUUGGGGGCAUUAGUAUUCAAUUGUCAGAGGUGAAAUUCUUGGAUUUAUUGAAGACUAACUACUGCGAAAGCAUUUGCCAAGGAUGUUUUCAUUAAUCAAGAACGAAAGUUAGGGGAUCGAAGACGAUCAGAUACCGUCGUAGUCUUAACCAUAAACUAUGCCGACUAGGGAUCGGAUGAUGUUAAUUUUUUAAUGACUCAUUCGGCGCCUUACG
rnacentral:misc_RNA from 1 species